rnacentral:misc_RNA from 3 species
AACGCACAUUGCGCCCCUCGGUAUUCCGGGGGGCAUGCCUGUUCGAGCGUCAUUGCACCCCUCAAGCUCUGCUUGGUAUUGGGCCUCGCCCCCCGGGCGGACCCGAAAGUCAGUGGCGGCCCGGCGCGUCUUCGAGCGUAGUAAAUUUUCUCCCGCUUUGGAAGUUCGCGUCGCGACCGGCCAGCAAGCCUAUUAUUUUCAAUGAUUGACCUCGGAUCAGGUAGGGAUACCCGCUGAACUUAA